AGAUGGUGUCCCUUUCACGGUUGUGAUCCCUCUUGGAUUCCCCUCCAAGCAUGGCGGCAACGCUAUUUGCAGUACCUAAUAUGAAAAGAUUCAACGAGGAGGCAUUGGACAAAGAGCCAUUUUAAAGAAGUGUAAUUGUAAGAGGCCACUCAGUGAGUCCAUGAUUGUACUGAUUUGUCACAAGACGCUUAGCAUGGCUUGUUCUAGUACACAAAAUUGGAUUGCCUUUACCGGUAAAAGACAAUGAUUAUACGCCUGUUUCCCUUUGGAGCUAAAAAGUGCCUCUGCUCUCUGCUGAGCUGGAGGAUACAAAAUGAUGCGAUGAAACAGCGACUCCAACACUGGCCUCAUGGCGGCUAAGGG